AUUUUCUGUUGCUGCUUUUGCUUUUGCCGCUCUGUUGGUGUAUUGUUGUGUCAUCGCCGGCGUAGCUGUGUGUGUGCGGCUGCUAUCGCCCAGCGCCUGCUGUUUCGCAGCCAUUCUUUACUUUAUUAUUGUUUUGCCUUUUGCUGCUGCGGUACUACAGUUCAUAUCGAAUACAAUUGUUUUCGCACACAUGCACAUAUACAUGCGGUGCCAGCUGCUGUGCGUUUGGUUGGCUGUUCUUGCGUUUUUCUGCUAUUGUUGUUUUCCCUCUUUAAAAUGAAAACGACAAUGGCAGCUCACUUGACACCGUCCUCACACCAACGUCGCGGGGAUUAUGAUUUUUGCCUUCGGCAGCGUCUGCGCCCGUUUUGAUUGCCGGUAACAGUCAACAAUCAACUAUCGAUUACACCGUACUUUUAUGCAGCGCUGAGGGAAUUAUGUUUGCAUGUACAUAUGUAUGUAUGUUUGUAUGCAUGUAUUUGCAGAGUGUUUGUGUGCUUUUGUGCCUUAGUAUUUUGUUGGUUGGCUGCUGACGCGGUUGGCUAUCAGCUGAGGGAAUAUCAUUCAUUGACCAACCAAAAUUGUUCGAUAGGAGACAUAAGUGGCCACUUCGAAAUUUGUAUCAAAUGAAUGUGUGUACAUAGCUUUCAAUUCAAAUGAGCGCAUUAAUACAACAAUGAAUCCAAUGGCCGCAUCUGAAAGUAAUGAAAAUUGCAACGUUUUGAUUGGAGAUUUAAUCGUACUUUUGCAAUAGGUCAUGCCACUUGAUAUUGCCUCCACAGCACUCGAACCAACUCCAGCCGCUGUAGGUAGCUACGGCAUUCCAUAAAGUAUUUGACCGAGCGAGCGUCCACUUGGCAGCAUGGCUGUGCGUUGCUGUGGCACGGGCGGUGGAUUCGAUUCGGUCGUCGUGAUUGCGAUGUGCUUUUUUUUGCAGCAACAUUAAAGCCAAUGUGUAUGUAACGAGUGAGUACCUACUACAACUACCAGUACUUACCUUCAUGCAAGCCCGUUUAUCGAGGGUGGAGUCCAAGCACCGUUGAUUGGCCUGCCAACUCUGUUGCAAUGUUGUGCCAUUGGUAGAUAAUUUUAUAGGCAUUUUGAGCCUAUAAACGAAAACCGGAAAUAAACGAGCGAACAAAUGAAUUAAUAUUCGUUCUCAAGUACGAAUGUUGUUGGCGCGCUUACAACUACAAAGGAGGCAAUUGAAUCGAAUAUAUCUCAUCGACCUGGAGAAAAGCUGUGAAUAGCCUGGAUAACGAUUGAACAUUUUUAAGGCUUUAGCUUCCACCCUCCAGCAGUCAACAGCCAUCAGCUGUUUCCAAGCGGCCAUUCUACAAAUCCAUGAGAUACUCAUUACGCCACAAAUACACACACACACAAAACAAAGCAGGUACGAUGUAAUGUCAUUAUAGAUUCAUGUUUCUACACGAUUUCCUGGUCGCCCGCUUUUCCAUACACAAAUCGAAAUUGCUGCAUCGCGACAGCGCAACAUAGCGACAAUAACAACAAAAAUUAAAGAGAAUAAACAUCAGCAAGCAAAGCAGCAGUCGCAAGCAACGCCACACAACACGCUCCAUAUCCAGGUUGGCGCAGAGUUGCCAUUAGCGGAACAUUCAUAUCUAAAUGGUCUCGUGAAAUACUUGCCUGUGUGCAGAGGAAGUUUUAUAAUGCUAGACGACAAUAAUUUAUUUAA